UACAGAGGUCUCGAGCGUUAGGCGGAAUCACUGGGCUUAAAGCGUGUGUAGGCGGAUGCCUAAGUACCUUGUGAAAUCCCACGGCUUAACCGUGGAACUGCUUGGUAUACUGGGUGUCUUGAGCCACUCAGGGGCGAGCGGAACAAAUGGUGGAGCGGUGAAAUGCGUAGAUAUCAGGAGGAACACCGGUGGCGAAGGCGGGUCUCUGGGCCGAUACUGACGCUGAGGAGCGAAAGCGUGGGGAGCGAACAGG
rnacentral:rRNA from 1 species